UGUUAGCGCGCCUCAGCUCGUCCACUACGCAGCGGCAUGUAUGCGGGGAGUAACAUCGUCGACGCAGCACCGGCAACUUGGAGAGCGCUUCGCGACCGCGUCGUACCAUUCAAAAGUGGCGAGGCUGUGACCCAUAACAGUGCCCACAUAACGGAGGAGCCACCAGACCCCUUGGCUAUGCCUGCCGUAGUGCAACGUGUAAUCUGGAUGGUCGGGUCAGGUACACCUAGGAAAUGUUGUAUACAUUGGCAACGAUAACUGGGGCCUGCUCCAGUGCCAUCGCCGGGAUUCCCUGUUCUGCAAAGAACUGGCAUAACUGAUGUGGGGAGCCCUGGCGCUCGGCGUAGGAGCGUCACAGGGGCUCCUUGUCGGUGCUUGAAGGACGGCAAUGCUGUUGAGAAGCCGACAUUGAGCCCCGAUAAAUUGGAAGCUGUGGGUAGUUACCGCAUUAUUGACUUGGAAACCAGUGAGGUCUGGAUGCAAGUGAAGCUACCGAGGGAGGCAUGUGUGCAUCACUUGGGCUGCUGGCCAUCCUCUGCAAAAGUGAUGGCUGGCUGUCAGUGCUUGGAUGACUUUCUGUUACUCUACGCCUUGGGCUGUGUUGACUACCUCACACUUGCUGCCAUGUCUGCAAGCUUAGGCAAGAAGACCGGCUGGAUGCUUGGCAAGAGAUAGUAUCCAACCGCAGUGUUACUGUGUUGUGUUGUACAUUACAAAGUGAAGGAGGACAGUAUUUGUGCUGUUAUUAAGAAGUAUAAAUUGUGUCCUGCCAUUGAAAUAAGGGAACUCGACAAAAAGCAAAAAAUUUCGAAGUCUGACCUACAUGGAAAAGCAAAAUAUAUUGUGUUGUAGUUGCAGCUGUUAGUAGAGUCUUAAUAUGCGAUAGAAGACCUUGAUGUUUAAUAUAAAAU